UACGUAGGUGGCAAGCGUUGUUCGGAAUUAUUGGGCGUAAAGGGCGCGUAGGCGGUUUGCUAAGUCAGUUGUGAAAGCCCGGGGCUCAACCCCGGAGGGUCGGCUGAUACUGGUGGACUAGAGUACGGAAGAGGUAGCUGGAAUUCCCGGUGUAGCGGUGAAAUGCGUAGAUAUCAGGAGGAAUACCGGUGGCGAAAGCGACUCUCUGGACGGCAACUGACGCUGAGGCACGAAAGCGUGGGGAGCGAACAGGG
rnacentral:rRNA from 1 species